rnacentral:lncRNA from 1 species
CAGAAACUAAACAGAGACACAGAGGAACAAACAAGUUAUAAACCAAAUGGACUUAACAUUUAUAGAACAUCACAUCCUAAGACAAAAGAAUAUACAUUCUCAGCACCUCAUGUUAACCUUCUCCAAAACUGACCAUAUAAUCUGUCACAAAACAGGCCUUAACAGAUACAGGAAGAUAGAAAUAAUCCCAUGCAUCCUAUCAGAUCACCACGGACUAAGGCUGGUCUUCAAUUACAACAAAAACAACAGAAAGCCCACAUAUACAUGGAAGUUUAACACUGCUCUACUCAAUGAUACCUUGGUCAAGGAAGAAAUAAAGAAAUUAAAGACUUUUUAGAAUUUAAUGAAAAUGAAGGCAAAACUUAUGGGACACAAUGAAAGCAGUGCCUGCAAAAAAGAAGCAGGAGAGAGCAAACAUUAGCAGAUUGACAGCACACCUAAAAGCUCUAGAACAAAAGAAGCAAAUACACCCAAGAUGACUAGAAGGCAGGAGAUCAUCAAAUUCAGGGCUAAAAUCAACCAAGUAGAAACAAAAAUACUAUACAAAGGAUCAACAAAACCAGGAACUGGUUCUUUGAGAAAUUCAACAAGAUAGAUAAACCCUUAGAUAGACUCACAGGUAGAGUGUCCAAAUUAACAAAAUCAGAAAUGAAAAAGGAGACAUAAAAAUAGAAUCUGAGGAAAUUAAAAAAAAAUCAUCAGAUCCUACUACAAAAACCUAUAUUCAACAAAGGAACAUCUGGACGAAAUGGACAAUUUUCUAGACAGAUACCAGGAACCAAAAUUAAGUCAGGAUCAGAUAAACCAUCUAAACAGUCCCAGAAUGCCUAAAGAAAUCGAGGAAGGUAUUAAAAGUCUCCCAACCAACUAAAGUAUAUGACCAGAUGGGUUCAGUCCAGAAUUCUACCAGACCUUCAUAGAAGACCUGAUAUCAAAACUGUCCACAAAAUAGAACAGAAGGAAGACUAGCCAAUUCCUUCUAUGAAGCCACAAUUACUCUUAU